rnacentral:rRNA from 1 species
UAAAAAAUUUUGGCGGUAUUUUAAGCUUAUUAGAGGAAUUUGCUCUGUGAUGGACACAACGCCUUAAUCUUACUUAAUUUAGUAAUUUAAAUCAGUUUGUAUACCACUAUAUUAAUUAUAUUGAAUAGUUAUAUUUAAAAUUUUUUUAAAAAAAUAUAUUAAGUCAAGGUGCAUCUAAUAAUUAUGAAUGAAGUGAAUUACAUUAAUUUUAAUGUAAUUUUUAACAAUGAAAAAAUUAAUUAGGAUUUAAUAGUAAAAUACUAAUAUUAUGAGUAUUUGAAUCAAGCUCUAAAAUAUGCACAUAUCGCCCGUCGCUCUCAGAAGUGAGAUAAGUCGUAACAAAGUAAAAAUACUGGAAAGUGUUUUU